GUUGCACCAAAAUUUGGAUCCGUA
rnacentral:siRNA from 1 species